GAUGAACGCUGGCGGCGUGCCUAAUACAUGCAAGUCGAGCGAACGGACGAGAAGCUUGCUUCUCUGAUGUUAGCGGCGGACGGGUGAGUAACACGUGGAUAACCUACCUAUAAGGCUGGGAUAACUUCGGGAAACCGGAGCUAAUACCGGAUAAUAUUUUGAACCGCAUGGUUCAAAAGUGAAAGACGGUCUUGCUGUCACUUAUAGAUGGAUCCGCGCUGCAUUAGCUAGUUGGUAAGGUAACGGCUUACCAAGGCAACGAUGCAUAGCCGACCUGAGAGGGUGAUCGGCCACACUGGAGCUGAGACACGGUCCAGACUCCUACGGGAGGCAGCAGUAGGGAAUCUUCCGCAAUGGGCGAAAGCCUGACGGAGCAACGCCGCGUGAGUGAUGAAGGUCUUCGGAUCGUAAAACUCUGUUAUUAGGGAAGAACAUAUGUGUAAGUAACUGUGCACAUCUUGACGGUACCUAAUCAGAAAGCCACGGCUAACUACGUG
rnacentral:rRNA from 1 species